rnacentral:rRNA from 1 species
UGGGGAAUCUUGCGCAAUGGACGAAAGUCUGACGCAGCGACGCCGCGUGGGUGAAGAAGGCCUUCGGGUUGUAAAGCCCUGUCGAGUGAGAAAAACACCCAGUAGAUUAAUACGCUAUUGGUUUGAUUGUAUCACUAAAGGAAGCACCGGCUAACUCUGUGCCAGCAGCCGCGGUAAUACAGAGGGUGCAAGCGUUGUUCGGAAUUAUUGGGCGUAAAGGGCAGGUAGGUGGUCUUAAAAGUCUACUGUG